GCCAACAGAUGUAAAUUUGAGCUGCCCUCUCCUCCAUCCUCACCUCGUCCCUCAUCUCGACCCUCACCUCCUCCCUCACCUCCUCUCUUACAUCCUCCCUCUCCUCCACCCUGUUUUUCAGUUUGUUGAAGGUUCCUUUGAAAAGCAUCUGGGACGUGUGGAGAACCCGAACGAGACGGUGGGUCAGGUGGAGAUCAAAGCUUUAUCUCAGCUGUACAGGUG